AUGUGCUGGAAACAUUCUCCUUAUGCUCAAUGCUCCUCAAAAAGUGCAUACAAAACAUCUGUGCAGGAGCCAUGGCUGGAAUCCGCGCAUCUACUUGUGGUCCUUCGUAUCAAGAAAAUCAUACUCCUAAUGCAUCUUGGAAGGAUCAAACCAUCCCUCAAGCCCUUCUGCAUGGAGACUUAUAAGGUUCUUCAUGCUUCCUCGGCUAUCUCUCCUGUAGCUCUGAUAUUGCUGAUUCUUGUCGGUCCUGUUGGCUUUAAUCUUGAUUCCAUGUAUCUGCAUUUUAGUUUGAUUUCGUACAUGCAUGUAGUCGAGAUGGUCUAG
rnacentral:rRNA from 1 species